UAAAUCUCUUAACGAGGAACAAUUGGAGGGCAAGUCUGGUGCCAGCAGCCGCGGUAAUUCCAGCUCCAAUAGCGUAUAUUAAAGUUGUUGCAGUUAAAAAGCUCGUAGUUGAAUUUUGGGUCUGGCCGGGCGGUCCGCCUUCUGGGUGAGUACUGAUCCGACGUCGGACCUAUCCUUCUGGUGAAUCGGCAUGUCCUUUACUGGGUGUGUCGGGGAACCAGGACCAUUACCUUGAAAAAAUUAGAGUGUUCAAAGCAGGCGCAUGCUCGAAUACAUUAGCAUGGAAUAAUGAAAUAGGACGCGUGGUGCUAUUUUGUUGGUUUCUAGAACCGCCGUAAUGAUUAAUAGGGAUAGUUGGGGGCAUUAGUAUUCAAUUGUCAGAGGUGAAAUUCUUGGAUUUAUUGAAGACUAACUUCUGCGAAAGCAUUUGCCAAGGAUGUUUUCAUUAAUCAAGAACGAAAGUUAGGGGAUCGAAGACGAUCAGAUACCGUCGUAGUCUUAACCAUAAACUAUGCCGACUAGGAAUCGGGCGAUGUUAUUUUCACGACUCGCCCGGCGCCUUAUGGGAAACCAAAGUUUUUGGGUUCCGGGGGGAGUAUGGUCGCAAGGCUGAAACUUAAAAGAAUUGACGG
rnacentral:rRNA from 1 species